UCUUUUCUCUAACACUAGUUAAAUCUAGAAAUAAGUUGGAAAAUCCUACAACCACAUAAUCGCGGCAUACUCUGUAUAGGAUUCAUCAGAGAGCACGACUCCUCCAUAGUCAUCUCUAUUUCAAUAGCAGCUCAACAGAAACUCUGUAGGUGUUUGAAGACAGAAAUAAAGAAGUAAAAGAACCCAGAUCUGAUUUUCUUCAAAGCGAAUGAGAGCACGACUCCUCCUUAGCAGAUCGUUAGAUUUUCUUCUUCUCUCUUAUAUCUUUGAACCCAGAUUUGAUCUCGGGUAAGAAGCAGAUCGAUUCCAGGUGAAAGAGAACUCUCCCAGAUGAAAAAUUUUAGACCCAGAUAGCAAAUACUUGGGUCUUGAUCUCAGGUGUCAUUUGGCAUAAGAAGGGGUUCUGGUCUUCUGGAGAUGCAGCAGACAAAGGGGAAGAUGAAGAGAACGGGAAGAUGCAGAAAUAAAGAAUAAAUCUGGAGUGUGUUUCUUUGUUCAAUCAUGUCAUUUUUGUUUGUAUAUUUAUUGGGAGAGGUAUUGGCAUUCAUCCCCCUCUUCCUCCUUGUAUCAUUUCUGGAAUAUAUUGAGAAUUUUACUGAUUAAUUACUGUUA